CUUUUAGAACAUUUUACGUGCUUAUUACUCAUAUUUAGACAUACUAUUGAACCCCAAUCAAGGAAGAGAUACAUGUGUCCAACUAAAUCAAGCUCCAAUUUAAAUGUCGUGUAUAGUACAAUUUAAAUGUGGUGUAUAGACAGUGAUACGUCGUUCAGUUGCAAGAAAAUGUUUAAGAGCGUAACAAUCAGAGAUGAGUAGAAAUUAGUUAUUCUAACAAUACCCACAACUAUUUCAAAGCCGUCGAGUGAGCUCGAAAGGACCUACCAAUAUUUAAGCCUUCCGAACCCAUAGCAACGGUCCAGUCUAAUAAAGUUAAAAUGAAAUGGUAAUUUGUCAGGCUUUUUUUCAAUGGCGCUUGCCCACAAAAAUGCAACAAGACCAAAAUCGAACUAGCAACAAAAUCGACGAUUCAAACUAGAUUUACAUUUUAAACUCUGCGAAACUCUCGUGACGGAAUUUCGACUAUCUAUUGGAAUUUUGCCUAAAAUUCAAUUGUUAAUGCCGUAAGCCUUUAAUUGACAAAAAAUUACAAAUGAAAAAGUAAAUUAACUUUUAAUUUUAGCAACCUGGUUU